GUCAGAGAGAAGGAGACACAGAAUCUGAAACAGGCUCCAGGCUCUGAGCUGUCAGCACAGAGCCCGACACGCAGCUCGAAUUCACGGAGCGGGAGAUAAUGACCUGAGGUGGAGUCGGCCGCUUAACCGACUGAGCCACCCAGGCGCCCCUUGGGAUGCCAUUUUGAUGUGGCUAUUGUAGGUUUUAUGACAGGCCAGCAAUUCUACAAAGUUGUGUUUAGUGGAGAUUAGACUCAAAAUGUCCUAGGCCCAUGUGGAAAGCUCCUUUGCAGUAAAUUCACCUUCUAAGAUGCUUUUGAUCCAGGGAUACUAAUUAACAAUAAAGGAUGUGAUGGUUAGAGCUGGAGCGGCAAUCUUGCAACCUUGAGGCAAAAUCAAGCAAAUUCCACAGACCUCAACUUGGACAUCCUUGAGCCACUAAACCAAUAUCAGCAACUGCCUAUAUCUGGACUUCUUACUAAGCAUUCUGGUGAGUGAGUCAGCCAAGCUUAUGAGUACCUGCAGUAUGUUGCACCUCAUUAGGUUCUAGGAGAUUUCUUCCCUCCAGUGGGAUGAGCACCAAUAAGAUACAAUAUUUUUGUAGAUUCGUGUGCUAAACUGGAGAAGCUUGGGACAAUAAGCUGAACAACAUGAGCAAAGCCAAAUUCAGGGUAGGAUCUCAGGGGUGUCCAGCCAGCCUUUCUUUGUACUGAAAGGGGUCACCUUUUCAAGCAUUGUAUUCACACAGCUUUGAGUUUAUUUCUUCUCUGAACUUCAUUUCUAAACCAUUACUGUUCUGGGUGAGCUGUGCUUAGAGAGACAUAACGGAGUUGAAGAUGGAUCCAAGGGCCCACAUGGAGAUCAAAAUGCAGCAUUUGCUUCAUUUCUGGUUGAUAUUUGCAAAACCUUUGGUUUCUGAUAAAGCCUUUGUUCCUUAUGUUUGUGGGAGAAAAGGAACAAAAAGGGAGAGAGAAACACAGUUAAACAGCAUAUCCUACACAUAUCCCAAGGCUUUUGAAGACAAAAAGAAUUGUACAAAAUAAAUUGCAAAAGAA